rnacentral:rRNA from 1 species
UACGUAGGGGGGCAAGCGUUGUCCGGAUUUAUUGGGCGUAAAGAGCGUGUAGGCGGCCAGGUAGGUCUGCUGUGAAAACUCGAGGCUCAACCUCGAGACGUCGGCGGAAACCCUCUGGCUAGAGUCCGGAAGAGGAGAGUGGAAUUCCUGGUGUAGCGGUGAAAUGCGCAGAUAUCAGGAAGAACACCCGUAGCGAAGGCGGCUCUCUGGGACGGUACUGACGCUGAGACGCGAAAGCGUGGGGAGCAAACAGG